GUUUCCACCUGGGCCUGCACGCCAGCCCCUUUUGGUGUCCUGGCAGGGUAGAUAGAGAAGGAAAGGGGCCCCUGCCUCACCUGCCGCAUGUGUCACCUGCUUCUGCUGUCACCGGCUUAAGUGCUCUUCUCUGCUCUCAGACAAGGCUGGAGUAGCAGGACGGGCUGAAUCUCCAUUCGGGCCUCUGGAGCGUGACAGGGUCUCCAGCUGGCCUUGAAAUCACUGUGUAGCCCAGGUGAGGCUUGAACUCGCAGUGAUCCUCCUGCCUCAGCCUCCUAAGUGCUGGGAUUACAGGAUCGCCCACCCCUGCCUGUGCCGCACCCGGCUGCCCGACAAGGCUAGGAGGGAGGACUCUGCUCUGGAAAUCAGCACCCGGAAUUAUCAGCCAGGACUGUGACGACCAAGCCCUGUUGCUACCGCUACCGUGUAAGCAUCUCAAGCCAGUCCCAAGGUGGAACCAGACGUUUGGCCACAGAAGCACUAACGUCUUCCAGGAUGGGAAUUUGGGACAGAAUCCAGACCUGAGCGGGGACUGUGGCCAGGGAGGCAGUUGAGGCAGCUGAGGUCCUGGGGACCAGCGGGCUUCAGUACCACCGUCGCCCCCAAUGGGGCAGUCACCCUUCCUUCCGGUGACCUCUGGCCCUUCCCGAGUCCUUAUCGACAUCCACAUUGAAGGGUCAUCCUGCUGGAAGACGCAUCUCCGUGUUCAGGCCAUCGGCUGCUUGACCGUUGCCCGUGCCCUCAGGUGCCAGGCUGGGCAGGGACAUGGGCUGAGGGAGAGCAGGGGAGGACAGCAGCCCUGGGGCCUGUGGGGCCUGGGCUGUGGAGGUCACUUGUCCACACCUGUGCCUGUGGAUGGACAGCGGGACCCCCACCACCUUGAAGGGCAGGUGGCAGAGGCCACAGAUGUCCCGGGAGGGGUCCUAACGCCAGCGAUAGGAAGCUGCUGUCCUCCUCCUGCCUGGCCCCUGAUCCAUGGAGGGUUGGGGGCCGGGGGGCCCCGAAAUGAACGCGUGAGUGUGGCAAACAUGCACUGCUAAUGAAACAACCUAUAAAGAAGAAAGAAGAAAUCAG
ensembl:lncRNA